CCUGAGCAUAGCUUGCACCUUUACGUGGUGCUUAGGAUGAGUAACCAGUCGGUGAAACUAAGCAAGC
rnacentral:ribozyme from 1 species